rnacentral:rRNA from 1 species
GACGAACGCUGGCGGCGUGCCUAAUACAUGCAAGUCGAACGCUGAAGGAGGAGCUUGCUUCUCUGGAUGAGUUGCGAACGGGUGAGUAACGCGUAGGUAACCUGCCUGGUAGCGGGGGAUAACUAUUGGAAACGAUAGCUAAUACCGCAUAACAGUAGAUAUCGCAUGAUAUCUACUUGAAAGGUGCAAUUGCAUCACUACCAGAUGGACCUGCGUUGUAUUAGCUAGUUGGUGAGGUAACGGCUCACCAAGGCGACGAUACAUAGCCGACCUGAGAGGGUGAUCGGCCACACUGGAACUGAGACACGGCCCAGACUCCUACGGGAGGCAGCAGUAGGGAAUCUUCGGCAAUGGACGGAAGUCUGACCGAGCAACGCCGCGUGAGUGAAGAAGGUUUUCGGAUCGUAAAGCUCUGUUGUAAGAGAAGAACGAGUGUGAGAGUGGAAAGUUCACACUGUGACGGUAUCUUACCAGAAAGGGACGGCGAACUACGU